rnacentral:rRNA from 1 species
GACGAACGCUGGCGGCGUGCUUAACACAUGCAAGUCGAACGGAAAGGCCCUGCUUUUGUGGGGUGCUCGAGUGGCGAACGGGUGAGUAACACGUGAGUAACCUGCCCUUGACUUUGGGAUAACUUCAGGAAACUGGGGCUAAUACCGGAUAGGAGCUCCUGCUGCAUGGUGGGGGUUGGAAAGUUUCGGCGGCUGGGGAUGGACUCGCGGCUUAUCAGCUUGUUGGUGGGGUAGUGGCUUACCAAGGCUUUGACGGGUAGCCGGCCUGAGAGGGUGACCGGCCACAUUGGGACUGAGAUACGGCCCAGACUCCUACGGGAGGCAGCAGUGGGGAAUAUUGCACAAUGGGCGGAGGCCUGAUGCAGCAACGCCGCGUGCGGGAUGACGGCCUUCGGGUUGUAAACCGCUUUCGCCUGUGACGAAGCGUGAGUGACGGUAAUGGGUAAAGAAGCACCGGCUAACUACGUG